UGAGGAAUAUUGGUCAAUGGCCGGGAGGCUGAACCAGCCAAGCCGCGUGAAGGAAGACGGCCCUACGGGUUGUAAACUUCUUUUGUCGGGGAACAAAAGGGAGGACGUGUCCUCCUCUGCGGGUACCCGAAGAAAAAGCAUCGGCUAACUCCGUGCCAGCAGCCGCGGUAAUACGGAGGAUGCGAGCGUUAUCCGGAUUUAUUGGGUUUAAAGGGUGCGUAGGCGGUCUGUUAAGUCAGCGGUAAAAGACCGGGGCUCAACCCCGGCAAGCCGUUGAAAACUGGCGGACUAGAGACGGAGAGAAGUAAGCGGAAUGCGCAGUGUAGCGGUGAAAUGCAUAGAUAUUGCGCAGAACUCCGAUUGCGAAGGCAGCUUACCGGCUCCGGACUGACGCUGAGGCACGAAAGCGUGGGGAUCAAACAGGAUUAGAUACCC
rnacentral:rRNA from 1 species